AACGAACGCUGGCGGCAGGCUUAACACAUGCAAGUCGAACGCGUGUAGCAAUACACGAGUGGCGCACGGGUGAGUCACACGUGGAUAUCUGCCUUUUGGUUCGGGAUAACCCUGGGAAACUAGGGCUAAUACCGGAUGGUUCCUACGGGAUAAAGAUUUAUAGCCAAAAGAUGAGUCCGCGUCCGAUUAGCUAGUUGGUGAGGUAAUGGCUCACCAAGGCGACGAUCGGUAGCUGGUCUGAGAGGACGAUCAGCCACACUGGGACUGAGACACGGCCCAGACUCCUACGGGAGGCAGCAGUGGGGAAUAUUGGACAAUGGGGGCAACCCUGAUCCAGCCAUGCCGCGUGAGUGAUGAAGGCCUUCGGGUUGUAAAGCUCUUUUGGCGGGGACGAUGAUGACGGUACCCGCAGAAUAAGCCCCGGCUAACUUCGUGCCAGCCGCCGCAGUAACAC
rnacentral:rRNA from 1 species